AGGGAAUCCAUGGGUGCCAGUGACUUUCCGAACUGGAGGAUAUGUGCAGAAGUCUGUCCUGGUUUCAGUGCUCAGCGGUGUGUGCAGAGAAAAGUCUUCUGGUACAGGCGGUGUGAUGCUCUGGGCGAGCACAGCACCUCAGCAGAGCAGUGUUGAGACCUUUGCUUGCCCUCGCCGUGUAACUGAGGCUUAUUUGGAUGAUAUAGGACCGGGAAAACCUAUCUUUAGGAGCUGCCAAGUGGCUUCUGAGACUCCUUGGAGGGAGGUGACAUCAACCUAAAGAUGAUAAUGGGAGCAAAGUUUGGCUCAUUUGCAGAACGGAGUGCCUUGCUUAACCCUGCUCUAAGCUGGAGGUCCUCCUCCUGACCUGGUAUCCUCCUUCUAGGAGGGCAGGGAUCAAGAGGCUGGCAGCAGAUGAGCCCUACAAAUCUUUUGCAGCCCUGCUGUGUCAUUGUAGACCAGGGGAUACCUGCUACUUGCUGUGGAAAGAGGAGUUCUUCAGCAUUUCAGUGACAUCAUCCACUCAGGAGAGUUGGGGCGAGGCUGGCUGAGGUUCUCAAGGAGCUGAGUUUUGAGUUCAGGUGCUCGUGUAGCAGUGGAAUGAUGCCUCCUGAUCUUUCAGACCUUUGAGACCUCUGGGCGGUCUUAGAAAUCACCUCAAGCCUCCAUCCAGUCCAGGAUACGACUGCCUAGGGGAAUUCCAGGGAAAGGUGGCAGAGAUACCAUGGACUAUAAGGUGAUGAAUGCCACGAUGAGCUCACUACAAGAUCUCAAAGAUUCCAAGCCACUGGCUAUUCCAAAGCAUAAAGCCACCCUUCAGGAGCAGCGUUGGGAGGCAGACUGGGAGGAGGCCCUGAGUUUUUGCCAAAGGAUGGAUCACCCCCUCAGGUGUCCAGGGAGCUGCUGAAGCAUAGUGAGGCAGAUGCACAGGACAGAAACACAGAAACUGGAACCAACAGGCACCUAAAGUUGAUUCGCACCCAGCAUCCCUGAAGACUGAUGUUCUCUGAGCUGUAGUUCUUCAUUGGACUGUUUUUCCUUUGCUAUCACCUGCCUAACACAUAGUGCUGGAUGCUUUUGACUGGUUGGAUUUCUUUUUUUUUUUUUCCCUUUAUUAUUUCUUUCCUUGAUUCUGGGAAUUAUAAAAAAAAAAUUGCUUUAAAAAGUAGUAUUCUGUGCUGAAAUUAGCCUUGUUUAUGAACAAGUUUUAUCCCUAGGGAUUUCCUGAAUUGCAGUCCCAGGUUACCUUGUAAAUGGGGCUGUGCUGUUUGAUUUGUAUAGUACUGAUCUGUAGGUUAAAAUACAUUUUCUUUCUUUUGUUUCAUUCUUUUUUUUAAAGUUUGGAUCCAGGUAAUGGCCUGAGUCACAUUUGCUUAGCUACUGAAGCGAUCUCAAUGUGGUAUCGCUUAGAGUUGAAACAUAAUCAAACAUACAUUAUACCUGGGGCUCUUGCACACUAUUUGAUGUAUAUGUUACACUACAAAGAAACACAAACCUUGUAGGUUGAAGUUUAAUUCCUCUUUGAUCCUGCAGCUAGAAUGCUAAAGAAAUUGUAAAUAUCAAAAGUGGCUUCAAAUACCCUGAAUGUAAGCUAGUCAACAGUAAGUGGAUGGUUUCAGAAUACCAUUUUCUAAGACAAAGCAGGAAGUAGAGAUCUACCUGAGCAUCCACGAUGUUGCUCAGGUCUGUCUGUGGAUCUGUCCAUUUUGGAGUAAAGAACAAGGCAUGCUUCUGUGAUUGUGCUUAUGAAAACUGUGGUAUUUCCGAUUUAUGUUUUGUAAUUGUGCCUGCCUUGCAAUAAAACACAUUCAGUUGACUCAGCAA